rnacentral:rRNA from 1 species
AGAGAGAGACAUGCGCGCAUAUCAAUAAGCGGAGGAAAAGAAACUAACAUAGGAUUCCCUCAGUAACGGCGAGUGAAGCGGGAAGAGCUCAAAUUUGAAAUCUUCAAGGUUCUACCUUGACGAAUUGUAGUUUAAAGAAGUGUUUUCUGUUGAAGUUUUGGUAAAAGUUCUUUGGAAUAGGACAUCAUAGAGGGUGAGAAUCCCGUAUUUGACCAUUAUUUUCCAGCUUUGUGAUACACUUUCAAAGAGUCGGAUUGUUUGGGAAUGCAGUCCAAAAUGGGUGGUAAAUUUCAUCUAAAGCUAAAUACUGGCGAGAGACCGAUAGCGAACAAGUACCGUGAGGGAAAGAUGAAAAGAACUUUGAAAAGAGAGUUAAACAGUACGUGAAAUUGUCAAAAGGGAAGCGUUUGACACCAGUGUUGUUUUCUCGAAAAUCAAUUAAAAAAGGCAGGAUUUUGUGUUGUAUUGACUUUAUCAGCUUUCUGCACUCUUUUCUUGUCUUUUUUAAUGCACUUUUCGUUUAACAAGUCAACAUCAAUUUCUUUUGUUGUAAAAGGGUCAUUGGAAGGUGGCUUUCUUUUCGGAGAAAGUGUUUAUAGCCUUUGGCCUCUGCAAUCGGAGAGAUUGAGGUCUGCAGCGUAGAUCCUUCGGGGUUAGAUACAUUUGUGCUAAGUUAUAGCCUUUCAUAGACAACUUGUUGACUAUGAUCAGUCAUGUAGCUUACUCGCUUAUGCUAUUUUACCUACGCUUAGGAUGUUGAUGUGAUACUGCGAGCA